GGGGGCCGUGGCUGAGGGGCGGAACCUAAGGGAGAAGACACAGCUGGCAACCUGAUGGUGCGCCUGCUCCUUGUCGGACUGCUCCAAGGCGGCUGUUCUUCGCUGCAGAACAGCUUGAGGAAGUUGAGGCUGCUUUUCCAGCUUUUAGGAAAUUGAGGCUGCUAGAGAUCUGGCGGCUGGUCUACUUGGACAACCAGAGGAAGGACUCAGCGAAUAUGAGUCUUUAAUGCCCGUAUCAAACACCUAUAAAUCUCCCUUUUAACUAAGAGGAAGUUCUCCAGACUCAACAGAGACUGAUCAAAAAGUGAAGACUAACUCCCAGAUCUGGAGUAAUACUAGAGAGACCAUGGAAAGGAUAUACCGACUGCCCAGCCCAAGGAAUGAAUUAAUCUCACACUAAGACUUAGCAUUGUGAACAAUCAAAACUCCAGUGCUUCAGAGAAGAUUACAAAGUUUCAAAAAGAGAAAAAUCAGAGUGGCAUUAGAUGUCUCAUCAGCAACUCAACUUCAGCAGCUAGAAAGGUCAAAGUUCAGAGGGCAAAUAAGUUUCAGGAAUCGAUUCCAAGAAUAUGAUAAAAACACGAACACGGGCAUUGCAGCGUUAUUUGCAACAGCAAAGGUCGAAAACAACUCAAACAUCCACCAACUGGGAACUGGAAGACUAAGUUGUACUGUACCCAUAAAAUGGCGGCAUUAUGCAUCUGUGAAAAAGAAAAAAAUCUCUCUCCAUGCCACGAGAGAUCUCCAGAAUAAGCUGGUAAGUGAAAAAGGCAAGGUUUAAAGAAAUGAAGUUUGCUAUUUGACAUUCCAAAAUGGGGGAAGAGAAAGACUGAAUACUUAUACUUUUAAAAGUCGAAGGAUAAACUGAAAACUUUUAGAAAGUACUUACUUGAUUGAAAGUUACAGGAAGGGAGGACAGGAACAGAAGCUAGAGUUCUACGAAUAUACCUUAUUUUGUGUCUUUGACUUUGGAAUCGUGACUAUUUUACAUAAUUGUAAAACCAAAAUUUUUAAAAAGCAAUCUCUAAAUAUUGAAAUAUUUAAUAUAUUUAGUGGGUGGCAGCCUUCACAGUGAGAACUGUUUCACGUGACUUUAAAACAUAAAUUUGACUAUACAUAUCUUAUAGGAGAUACUCAAAUAACGACAACAACAAAAUUGCCCCCUUCAUAAAAAGUCUCAACUGGUUUCUAGUAAUCAUAUUGCUCCUAUUGUUGAUACUGAAAUUGUUAUUCCAAGACUAUUUGUGUGUAUAUUAUAUACUGAAUAAUUAUGUUAGUAUUGUUUGGAAUAGGAUAUUAGGUUUUGGAGUAGAGGUACAGCUAAGUAUGAUAGGGUUAAGUAAAACUCUACAGUUGUGAUUCCGGAUUGUAAGUAUUGGUAUGAACUCAUGAUGUUUUUAUAUCUUAAAAAAUAAAUAUACCCUAGCUCCCUACAUUGAAUAGACCUGAAUACAUAAUCAACCCAAUAGCAGUAAGCACCUCUAGCACCCAGAUUAUGAUAGCUAAACACCAUUUUCUAUAAAUGAAACCAGGAGUCCUUGGAGACAUAGCUGAAUCCAUGGUCUAGGGUAAGAAAGAGACAAAUUGAGCCUGGACCAUCUUGUCAUUCCAGAAGGAAGGAAACUAUAAAACCCAAGGCAAAGCCAACUACUAAUGUAACCAACAUGAAGAGGCUCUCACUGUCCACAUAGGUAAUUUCUGCAUCAGUAAUAAUAACAGCUAUAAUGAAUUGGAACAUCAAAUAGAUUUAAUGGCAUGAACUCAUAAUGACUUAAAAAAUGUCCUCUCACUGUUCACUGGGAGAGGCUGGAAAACCCAAUCAAUAUUUUGAAAACUGGCGAUUAAACAAACAAGUAAAUCAAACAUCUAUCCCACCUUCAUAUGAAUUGUUCCUCAGGUAAGUGAAUAGUCAUGAAGGAAGGUUUCUCUUUUCUGUUUAUUUUUUAAAGAACAGUAGCUAAUGAAUGAAGAAGGAGAUAGACGAAGGUGGUCACCAUUUUUACAACACUUUAACACAUUAAAGAAUUGCAUCAAGGGUUAAUCACUGAUUGGUAAUAUCACAAAAAAAGAGACAACCAGACAUUACGUGCCUCUCAAAGGAAGGACACCACACCACCUGUGAGGUACUCUUGCCAAAAAAAAAAAAAAAAAAAAAAUCAAACCAUAGUCUGGUCCAGCCUCUAGCUCUAACUUUACUUUCCAGCAAAUACGGGGCAUGGGGAACAUGACUAACUCCACCAUGGCACCCAACUGGCAAGCUCUUCAGGACAUAGAACCAAUUUCCUCAACAGAUAAAUUGCAAGUUUAAAAAGAGAGAGAGAGAGAAAGAGAGAGAAGGAUGAGGGAGAAAGAACCUGUAAAUUUAAGUAGACUUCAGAGUCAUAGCAACCAACAGCAACAUAUGCACCUUAUUUAUUUGUUCCUGAUUUGAGCAUAUUAACUGUAAAAGAAAUUAUGAGACAAACAGGGAAAAUUUGAACAUUGACUGGAUUAUGGAUGCAAUUAGAUAAUUAUUAUUAAAUUAUAGGUGGGAUAAGAGUUUUAUGGCUUUAUUAAAAAAAAAAAAAGAAUCCUCUGGGAUUGCUUGGGUGGCUCAGUUGGUUAAGCAUCCAACUCUAGAUUUGGGCUCAGGUCUUGAUCUAGUGGUUGGUGGGAUCCAGCCCUGUGUCGGGCUCUGCACUGAUAGCACAAAGCCAGCUCGGGGUUCUUUCUCUCUCCCUCUCCGCUCCCUUUGCCCUUCCCAGCUUGUGCACACGCUCUCUUUCUCUCUCAAAAUAAAUAAACUUAAAAAAAAAAAAAGAAUCCUCCAAACUAUUUGCAUGCCAAAAUAUGUAUAAAAUUUUUGCAUACCAAAAUAUUUACAGAUGAAGUGAAAUAUUUAGAAUUUGCUUCACAGUAGUCCAGAAUGGGGGGCGGGGGAGUGGAUGGGGGUACAGAUGAAACUCAAUUAGCCACAUCUUGAUCGUUGUUGAAGCUGAGUGAUGGUUACAUGGAGUUUUAUUACUCUGUUUUUGCUGUUUUUGGAAAUGUUUGAAAUUGCCUAUGACAAAAAUAAAUUUUUUAAGUCACGUAAAGUUUGUACUCACUCUGUUAUAUCCCCAUGUUUGCCUCAUAUUAAAAUGUAACUCUUUACCGAAAAUCGCUCUGUUCAAUUCCUAUGCUUACAUGUAACUCUUUACUAAAAAUCUUUGAGGA